rnacentral:rRNA from 1 species
UACGUAAGUGGCAAGCGUUGUCCGGAUUUACUGGGUGUAAAGGGCGUGCAGCCGGGCUGACAAGUCAGAUGUGAAAUCCCGCGGCUCAACCGCGGAACUGCAUUUGAAACUGUCAGUCUUGAGUACCGGAGAGGUCAUCGGAAUUCCUUGUGUAGCGGUGAAAUGCGUAGAUAUAAGGAAGAACACCAGUGGCGAAGGCGGAUGACUGGACGGCAACUGACGGUGAGGCGCGAAAGCGUGGGGAGCAAACAGG